ensembl:lncRNA
CCAGUUUAUGUGACUGCACUCGCUGCUGCGGGGUGACGAUAAUCAUGUAGCAGCGGCUGCUUCAGUGAAUAAAGUGAGACGGUGUGUGCUUCGUGUAGUUUUCAUUUCUGAAAUCUAAAAUUUACACUGAACUCCAGUGUUAGCGUGGAGCUAUUCUGGCAUCAAAUCCCUGAACCUUACAAACUGUGAGCGGCGGCAUGCUCAGCUGUGUUAUGGCAAAGGAGGACCAGCUGACACCCAGCAUGGUCCGACCAACCUGAGAACCAAAGUGUGUUAUUGGACUAUGUAAAGCCUAAGUAUACAAAUACAGGCUAUUUACCAUUUAUUUAUCACUGAAUUAAACUAAACUAACAGCAGUCUUUCUUCUGCUUCUCCUGAACAUUAAGUACCUGUCUCAGCUGAUAUUGAUCUUCUGUGAUUCAAAUUCAGAUCUGUGGUUAAUCAAAUUAUCUACAACCAAUUGACACGCCGCAAACUCAGAGCUUUGGAGGCCAGACGCAGCUGACCGCUCUGCACGGCCGUUAAUCCAACCUUGGCUCAUAGAUUUGUUCUGUACCCAGAGUUGGACCGACGGUUGGGUUCUGGUGCACCAAAUCAGUACUGAAUCUGACUGACCAACUCUGUUACUCUUUUCUGCUUAUAAUUGAUUAAUUGUGUUACUUUGUUUACUUUAAGAAAACAUUUCGGGCUUCUUUCAGUUUCCAAUGUGUCGAACACACCGGAAACACAGAUGUUUAGAAGAAAUCAUCAGUCUUGUCUGCAGUUGGUGAGCCUGAUGCAGGCAGUAAUGCACAUCUACGAGCCACGUGCAUGUUUGAUUUGUCAACUCUACAUUUACAAAGUUUCUUCUUUUCUGGAAACCGAGCCUGGUUUUAUGAUUUUAAUAGUCAAUGUUUUAUUGGGGUGUAGUUCAUGUUUUAAGAAAAAGAGGACAUCUUUAAAAGAAGUUCAAACCUGAUGGAAAUACGUCAUCUCUGCUAGUUUCUGUGCAAACACAGCUGAUGGUUUUGACUCUACAGUAGGAUGCUGAAGUCACAUGAUGAAUAAAUGAUGGACGUAGCCAUCGUGAUGUCACCUGUUAGUUUGUAAAGACUGAAGCUGAGCCCACUGACCAUCAUCAUCUUAUCUUAAGAAGAUGUCACAUUAGAGGGAUACUGGAUGCUUAUACGCUAGCGACUUGUCGAUCACACCCAGCUUUACUGUCCUUCUGGGAACUAAUGGACUUUGAUUAGAGUUGAAACACACGAGUGAGACCACAAGCUGUUGAUGAUAGCGUUUACUGAGGUCACACGGCGCUCUCGAUUCGACACAUAGGAUGAUUUUUUUCACUUGUUUUAAACUAUAAUAGUUCCUGCGAAUGAUCUGUGUCUUCAGAAUCAUCAGGAACUUUUCUUGGGAACUUUUUUACUUUGCUGUUGUGUUUUACAUCUGGUGUUACCAUGGAAACCAGAUUUAAUGCAGCCUAAGCCCGAAAAUACAGACAUUUACCUGCAAGGUUAAAAUUCGGACAUAGCUUCGGGUUCUGAAAAGUACUUUUUUCUUAUAUAAUGGCCAACAGGGGGCGACUCCUCUGGAUGGUUUAGUUGUCUUUGACACAUUGACCUUUGGCUCUCCCAAUCUAUAACCUCAUUAAAGACUUUCCUGGUGGCUCUAUGGUCGCAAUCAAUACCUUAUAGUGUUCCUUUUUAAAUAACGAUCUCUGUUAGAGUCAAAAAUGACAAUGACUCGGGGUACGAGCAUGUGACUUAAAACUCCUGGCAGUAUCAAGUUUCUCGUCUGGUUUCAACACCAAGACGCUUCUGGACGAUUCAGUAAGGGAUGGCUCAUCACAUUAGCUACAUCCAUCAUCUUUACUCAGUAUAUGAAUGUAAUGCACAGUAUAAAAGUUGGGCUUUAAUGCACAAGUUCAAAAUCAACACAUAAACAGGUCGACGCGCUGCAGGUGCAUGUCAGCAAAUUCAUAUUUUCCACACACUCAAAACGUGGUUAGAUGGAUGCAGCAGGGAGACAGAGUUUGGUUCUGUUGAAGGAUCACCGCCUCCAUCUGCUCUCUCUGAUACCUGUUUAAAUAUUUUAUAAUACAGCCUAAUGAAACAUGAAGAGCCCGGCUUUUCCAAACAAUUAAGCAUAAUGAGUGUCUCUCAGAGAUCGUGGCGCUAAAACUAAAAGGCAACAACUGGGAAAUCAAACAUGUCAAAGACAGAACUGAAACUCUACACUGAUGGAAGCACAGUCCGGAUCCAGCAUCCGGGCCCGCUCUUUACCGCCAGCCGACUGAGCCUAGUUUCGAAUUGACGGACGUCGGCGGUAACCAAUCAGCGCCUGCCGUGCGCCAAAGCCGUGUUUAUUCCACUUAGCCGACCAAUCCGAGCCGUCCUCUGCGGCCAAGUGCGUCAUCAGAGUAGAAUGUGAAUGUGGGCUGCCUGUUACCGGAGCACACUUUGCUCCCAUCCCCCAUCAACACUGAGCAAUGGCGGCUACCCUUUUUUGCGUGCCGCUUUGUCCUUCUCAGUUCAGCUUGUAAAAGCCAUGUGUACAAAAGUCGGUAAGGAAAAUACGUGUUUGCCCUUGUGUUUCAUAAGAAUGCGCGUCAGUUCAUGAGCACAUUAUAAUUAUUUUCCGCACUUCUCUCAUCGCAUGUCUUUUAUGUCGCACUGCUUUUUUUCCCUCCUCCACGGCGGGGCAUUUCUCUGUGGGUCCUAACAAUGGAGGCGGAGGAAAUGAGCCACCAGCACUGUUCACUGCACCCGCUCACUGAGCCCGAACAGCCCGAAUCACGGCGUCAGAGCCGGCUGUGUGUGUGUUGUUCGACGGGCACUGUGUUUAUUUGUGUCUCGACCUUGGCGCACGAAUUUAUGGGCUGUUAUGUAAAAAAAAAAAAAAAGCCCUCAAGAGUGUCAAGUGCGCACAUACAGGGAUGAGUUUCAAACAUGGACGUCGGGAAGGGGCGGGGCGACGAAGAGCUGCGAUGUGACAUGGCGGCGCCGCUCCACAUUUACACUCUGAGCGCCUUGUAUCUGACUGAUGUUGUUCACAUGGAGCUUGAGAUGUGACACUAACUUUUGGGGAGAAAAGCCCGAUUUAAUCCGUAAUAACAUCCGUGUCGUCCACGUUUCCCUCCCAAACACUUCGCCUCUAUUCCCCCGUCGCGGCGGUGGGCGGGAGAAACCGUCUGAAGUCGCCGCUUGACUCGUCCAGACGCACAUCAAUCAAUCAAAGUGACACUACGUCAACCGAAGCGCUCUCGAUUCGACAUAUUUACUGCGUAACUCGACGGAAACUCGAUUUUCUUGCGCUCACGGUGCUGUGGAGCUGCCACGGUUCCGGCUCCGGUCCGUUUUGUGGGCUUUUAUCGACUCUGAUUAUUGUUUUAGGGGAGAAAGGGACGGUUGCAGCGAUAGAAUAGGAGGGGGCGUGGCCUUUGGGUUAAGAAAUCCUAUCCAUUGUUACUCUACGCGCUAGGAGAACACCUCUGCCGAGCCUCUGGCCAAUCAGAGACCACCGACCUCAUGAAGACCCCGCCCACAAGCCUAUAUUAAAGGCUCGGCCGUCAGAAGCAUUGGCCACUGGCACAAUAUAAUACUGAUUGAUCCGCUAACCGAGACGAGGGGAUUUACUUUAUUCAACCUUUCAUUUCAGCCGUCCUUUAUUUUAUUCUACUAAACAAUGGCAGACACACAGGUCGACUCCGGCUCGGAUAUCUCUGCCAAGGACCUGAAAGAGAAGAAGCUGGUGGAGGAGAAGGAGAACGGCAAAGACGCCGCCACCAAUGGGAAGGAGAAUGAAGAGAACGGUGAGCCCGAGGUAGAUGACGAGGAGGACGAGGAGGUGGACGAGGAAGAAGAGGAAGAUGAUGGAGAAGGUGAUGAGGAAGAUGAGGAGGAGGACGACGACGAGAUUGAGGGUGGCACAAAACGGGCAGCUGAGGAUGACGAGGACGACGACGAGGUGAGGCAGCGGCGCUUAAACGCCCUUAAAUCGAGCGUCGCCGUGACACCCAGCAGGCGCCGGUCUAACCCGCCACCGUCUUCUCUUCUUUCAGGACGACGUCGAAACCAAGAAGCAGAAAACCGACGAUGACGAUUGAUGCGUUUCCCCCGCGCCAUCCUGCUGAACCACUUCCUGAUUCUUCACCUCUGACCAUUUUUCUAUGUCGCAGGUGGAGGGGCUGGAGGACUGAUUUAAAGGAAAAAAUAAUAAUAAUAAAAAAAAUCCAACAUGGUCAUUAGCAAGUAGAGUUCAACAAACACCCGCCACGCCCACACCCACCCGAGCUCCCCUCGACGCUGCGAGACAAAUUUUCUAGAGGAACCCGCCACCGCAUCGACGACGCAGAAAUCCGGCUUCUCUUCAGCAACAACACAAAAGGAGAAUUUGUUUGUAUUUUUAUUUACAUUUUAUAUUUUUGUACAUAUUGUUAGGAGAGGGGAGGGGGGCAGUUUCUCUCUCGGCAGCGAUCCCGUCAGACCAAAUCGGUGCUUCUCUAACGAAAGAUUUUACUUGGUUGACCAUGUUACGAUAUCUCAACAGAUCUUAGAAAAACGUGUAAAAAAAUAAAAUGAAUAAAAACAUGAAAGACAACCUCUUAAGCCGUUGAACUCAGAGCAUUCCAGUAAAUUUAAUGUAUGUACUUUAGCUGUACCAUAACUAGUUUGUUUGUAUGGGAGGGUAAGGCCAAAGAAAAGAGCCUCUUUUCUUUUUCCUUUCUUUUGGUUUUUUUUCUUUUGGUUUUGUUUUUGUCAGCGACUUUUUGUUUUAUGACGGCCUGUUUUGAUGUAUGUGCAAAGUUUGUUGUUUGACAAUAAACCGGACUUUUAUUUUGUGAGUUGUACUUUGUAUCUCUGCCCCUUUUUAUUUGUGCUUUGCUCUCCUGUGAGGAAGAGGAAGCAGUGCAGGUAAACCUGAGGUCUGCUUUUACUUUAGGGUCACAACAGCGAGGAGGUGGGUCCAGCACAUCUUAUUGGACAUUUUACACUCAUUACAUCCAUAUAAUUCAUAUUACAUAAAAGUUAAGGUUUGGUACUAAAAUAAACUGGCGGUUCCAAAAGACUAAAUGUGGUUUAUUUCUUUUGGAUUUUUCUCUUCUUUUUGUCUAUAUUGCAAACAUGCAAACAGAAGCAGUUCUGAUAGUUGAAAGUUGUAAGAAUAACAUAAUGUGUCACAUAAAUAAGGGUUUCUGCAUGAAUUUAAAGUCUUAACAUUAAAAUAAAGCAUAUUAAGGUCUGAGAAGCUGAUCUGUA